UUCUCCCUUCCCAUUUCUCUCAUUCGCACUGAACCAAUCAGCCAAGAAACAUCUAAAUUUUUGUGUGGGUCCUAAAAUUUUUGUCGACUCAAAUUUUUUGUUUUGUUCAAGAAACUUAACUUCUCAAACAUGUGCGACCCUUGCUGUGGACCUUGCGGCUCUUGCUGCGGCCCCUGCUGCGGAUCCUGCGGCCCUUGCUGGGGACCCAGCCACCGACCUUGCAGACCCCGCUGCGGACCUUCCGGACCCUGCUGCUACCCUUGUAGAAAUGGCGGACCCUGCUGCUGUGGCCCCAGCGGACGGGCCAACGGACUCUGCGACUAAUAUCUACUGAUCGCGAACCACGAACAUUAAUUUGAGACGGCAAUAAAACAAUGGCCUAGACCACCAGAGCCCACCAAACAUUGAACUGUCUUAUUGUGGGCAUGAAGGGGGUUGGGUGGUAGCUAUUAUAGCUUAAGAUUGAAUUAAGAUGCAUGAGGGGCCAGACUUUCGUGGUCUUUGAGUUUCAUAUUCAUUCAAUGCAAUGAUAAACAAUCGUAGAAAAGAAAAACAUUUUUUGACAACUUUUACUUUAACUAUAAAAAUGUAUAAUAAUGUAGCAAAAAUUUUUGAACGGAACAGUGAAAAGGUGGGGAAAGGAUUGAUCCCAUGGUUGUCGAUGAGGCAGGACAACAUGCACCUUACCGUGCAAAUCAUUCCUCCCAGGAAGUACUAGCUUCUGUCACACGACACUUGGCCAUUGAAGUCGUCUGUUAUGUUAAAAGCAGACAAAUUAAUAAUCUUCACUCGUCUCCAACCCAGCUUUUUCUUAGAUUGUCCUUUCUGCCAAUAAUAUUGCCAUAUUAGAGAAAAAAGGCCAUCAUAGCGGAAACGCUCUUCAAUAAAAUUCGUGGUUAAAUUUUGGUACGCCCCCUAUGAACUAAAAUUUAUAGCAAAGGGCCGCCAUAAACGCCAUGAGUGGUGUAGUAGUUUCAUUUUCUUGUGUGCAGAUGGCGCCGGUAGUCAUAUCGAAAUGCAUCUAAGAAAUCGAGGAUUAAAACACGUCUCUCGCACUUUUAACGAUAUAAAUUCCAGAUCUAAGCUGGCAUACGCCGAAAACAAAAGUGUAAUGCCACAAAUAACUAAUAUAUGUACCGAUUUGGCGGCAGCUAUUACAAUUUGAGCUGUCAUUGAACAAGUAAUCCAAAACAAGUGCCAAAAUUCAAUACAACCCGCAUGGC